rnacentral:tRNA from 3 species
GCCUCUGUGGUCCAAUUGGUCAGGACGCUACCUAGUCACGGUAGAGGUAUAGGUUCGAAUCCUAUCAGGGGAG